ACGCAGAACUAGCAGAUUUACUUCGGUAAUGACGCUGGGGACGCGAGCGGCGGAUGGGUGAGUAACACGUGGGGAACCUGCCCCAUAGUCUGGGAUACCACUUGGAAACAGGUGCUAAUACCGGAUAAGAAAGCAGAUCGCAUGAUCAGCUUAUAAAAGGCGGCGUAAGCUGUCGCUAUGGGAUGGCCCCGCGGUGCAUUAGCUAGUUGGUAAGGUAACGGCUUACCAAGGCAAUGAUGCAUAGCCGAGUUGAGAGACUGAUCGGCCACAUUGGGACUGAGACACGGCCCAAACUCCUACGGGAGGCAGCAGUAGGGAAUCUUCCACAAUGGACGCAAGUCUGAUGGAGCAACGCCGCGUGAGUGAAGAAGGUUUUCGGAUCGUAAAGCUCUGUUGUUGGUGAAGAAGGAUAGAGGUAGUAACUGGCCUUUAUUUGACGGUAAUCAACCAGAAAGUCACGGCUAACUACGUGCCAGCAGCCGCGGUAAUACGUAGGUGGCAAGCGUUGUCCGGAUUUAUUGGGCGUAAAGCGAGCGCAGGCGGAAGAAUAAGUCUGAUGUGAAAGCCCUCGGCUUAACCGAGGAACUGCAUCGGAAACUGUUUUUCUUGAGUGCAGAAGAGGAGAGUGGAACUCCAUGUGUAGCGGUGGAAUGCGUAGAUAUAUGGAAGAACACCAGUGGCGAAGGCGACUCUCUGG
rnacentral:rRNA from 1 species